rnacentral:rRNA from 1 species
UACGAAGGGGACUAGCGUUGUUCGGAAUCACUGGGCGUAAAGCGCACGUAGGCGGAUGUGUCAGUCAGGGGUGAAAUCCCGGGGCUCAACCUCGGAACUGCCUUUGAUACAGCACGUCUCGAGUCCGGAAGAGGUGGGUGGAAUUCCUAGUGUAGAGGUGAAAUUCGUAGAUAUUGGGAAGAACACCGGUGGCGAAGGCGGCGACCUGGUCCGUGACUGACGCUGAGGCGCGAAAGCGUGGGGAGCAAACAGG